GACGAACGCUGGCGGCGUGCCUAAUACAUGCAAGUCGAACGAGAGCGACCGGUGCUUGCACUGGUCAAUCUAGUGGCGAACGGGUGAGUAACACGUGGGUAACCUGCCCAUCAGAGGGGGAUAACAUCCGGAAACGGAUGCUAAAACCGCAUAGGUCUUCGAACCGCAUGGUUUGAAGAGGAAAAGAGGCGCAAGCUUCUGCUGAUGGAUGGACCCGCGGUGCAUUAGCUAGUUGGUGAGGUAACGGCUCACCAAGGCCGGGAUGCAUAGCCGACCUGAGAGGGUGAUCGGCCACAUUGGGACUGAGACACGGCCCAAACUCCUACGGGAGGCAGCAGUAGGGAAUCUUCCGCAAUGGACGCAAGUCUGACGGAGCAACGCCGCGUGAGUGAAGAAGGUUUUCGGAUCGUAAAACUCUGUUGUUAGAGAAGAACAAGUGCUAGAGUAACUGUUAGCGCCUUGACGGUAUCUAACCAGAAAGCCACGGCUAACUACGUG
rnacentral:rRNA from 1 species